rnacentral:lncRNA from 1 species
ACCUGUAUGCCAUACCAAUAUCUCCACACUCCUUGGUUACAAGAACAACUAACCUAUAUGAUAUACAAUAACUUACACUUGAUAAAUGUCAUCGUUCCUUAAUGAUGUAUCAUUUGAUCAUGAAUAAGUUUAAGAACUAGUCGAUAAAUUCUCCUUUAUCGAUUGUCAUAUAGUUUUAAGGACUUCAUCAUAAUACAAGAGUUCUAAUAAGGAAGAUGU